AUGCACGCUGGCGGCGUGCCUCAUCCCUGCCAGUCGCGCGAACAGACGAGGAGCUUGCUCCUCUGACGUUAGCGGCGGACGGGUGAGUAACACGUGGAUAACCUACCUAUAAGACUGGGAUAACUUCGGGAAACCGGAGCUAAUACCGGAUAAUAUAUUGAACCGCAUGGUUCAAUAGUGAAAGACGGUUUUGCUGUCACUUAUAGAUGGAUCCGCGCCGCAUUAGCUAGUUGGUAAGGUAACGGCUUACCAAGGCGACGAUGCGUAGCCGACCUGAGAGGGUGAUCGGCCACACUGGAACUGAGACACGGUCCAGACUCCUACGGGAGGCAGCAGUAGGGAAUCUUCCGCAAUGGGCGAAAGCUUGACGGAGCAACGCCGCGUGAGUGAUGAAGGUCUUCGGAUCGUAAAACUCUGUUAUUAGGGAAGAACAAAUGUGUAAGUAACUAUGCACGUCUUGACGGUACCUAAUCAGAAAGCCACGGCUAACUACGUG
rnacentral:rRNA from 1 species